rnacentral:rRNA from 1 species
UGAAUACGAGAUGCUACGGCGUCGAAGCAGUCUAUGUCAUACUUCCAAGAAAAGCUUGCACUGUCAUAAACAAAUAAUGCCUGUACCAUAACCGACACAGGUGGGUAGGUAGAGUAUACUAAGGGGCGCGAGAUAACUCUCUCUAAGGAACUCGGCAAAAUGACUCCGUAACUUCGGGAGAAGGAGUGCCUUAUUUAUAAGGUUGCAAUAACAAGACCCAAGCAACUGUUUAUCAAAAACACAGGUCUCCGCUAAGUCGUAAGACGAUGUAUGGGGGCUGACGCCUGCCCAGUGCCAGAAGGUUAAAGAAGUUGGUUAGCAUUAGCGAAGCUGAUGACUGAAGCCCUGGUGAACGGCGGCCGUAACCAUAACGGUCCUAAGGUAGCGAAAUUCCUUGUCGGGUAAGUUCCGACCCGCACGAAAGGCGUAAUGAUUUGGGUACUGUCUCAGAGAGGGACUCGGUGAAAUAGACUUGUCUGUGAAGAUGCGGACUACCUGCACCUGGACAGAAAGACCCUAUGAAGCUUUACUGUAACCUGAAAUUGAAAUUGGACUUUAUUUGCGCAGUAUAGGUGGGAGGCUUUGAAGAUAUUCUUGCGGGAAUGUUGGAGCCAUCAGUGAGAUACCACUCUUGUAAUGUUAGAUUUCUAACUUUGUAUCAUUAUCUGGUCAAAGAACAGUUUCAGGCGGGCAGUUUGACUGGGGCGGUCGCCUCCUAAACGGUAACGGAGGCGCACAAAGGUUUCCUCUGAACGGGUAGAAAUCGUAUCUAGAGUGUAAAGGCAUAAGGAAGCUUGACUGUGAGACCUACAAGUCGAGCAGGGACGAAAGUCGGUCUUAGUGAUCUGACGGUGCUGAGUGGAAAGGCCGUCACUCAACGGAUAAAAGUUACUCUAGGAUAACAGGCUGAUCUCCCCCAAGAGUUCACAUCGACGGGGAGGUUUGGCACCUCGAUGUCGGCUCAUCGCAUCCUGGGGCGGUAGUACGUCCCAAGGGUUGGGCUGUUCGCCCAUGAAAGCGGUACGCGAGCUGGGUUCAGAACGUCGUGAGACAGUUCGGUCCAUAUCCGGUGUAGGCGUUAGAAUAUUGAGAGGAGCCUUCUCUAGUACGAGAGGACCGAGAAGGACACACCUCUGGUGUACCAGUUAUCGUGCCAACGGUAAACGCUGGGUAGCUAUGUGUGGAGCGGAUAACCGCUGAAAGUAUCUAAGUGGGAAGCCCACCUCAAGAUAAGUA